GAUGAAGAACGUAGCGAAAUGCGAUAAGUAGUGUGAAUUGCAGAAUUCAGUGAAUCAUCGAAUCUUUGAACGCACAUUGCGCCCCUUGGUAUUCCAUGGGGCAUGCCUGUUCGAGCGUCAUUUGUACCUUCAAGCUCUGCUUGGUGUUGGGUGUUUGUCUCGCCUCUGCGUGUAGACUCGCCCCAAAACAAUUGGCAGCCGGCGUAUUGAUUUCGGAGCGCAGUACAUCUCGCGCUUUGCACUCAUAACGACGACGUCCAAAAGUACAUUUUUACACUCUUGACCUCGGAUCAGGUAGGGAUACCCGCUGAACUUAAGCAUAUCAAUAAGCGGAGGA
rnacentral:misc_RNA from 1 species